AGAGACAGCAGUAACACCUUCUGGCUAUAGUCUAUUUUCAUCUUUCUCAUCCUAGUGUUAUCAAGAGAAAAACAGUCUUAGAUGCAACAUAAAAAUUUCAGAGACAGAAGAAAUCUUCCUUUGAGGGCAGGUUUUUUGGGAAAGAUAUAUAGCUUUUGGCAGAAGAAAAUCAGUGACAAUGACUUAGAAGAAUCUUAAUCUCAUGAAAGAAAUAAAUGCUUGUCAGUCAAGAAGUUGUAACCUUUACCUUGUUUUGACCUUUACAUUUUCAAGUGAUACACUUAUGUGAGAUUUUGAAAAGUGAAAAAUCAAAGGUGGAAUUGACCAGUAGAUGUAAAAGUACAACAAAUAAACAAAAAUGGCAAUGUUGAAAGUGAAACUGAAAUUCAACAGAAAUAAAAGAAAUAGCAGACUGGGGGGAUAUUGACUUUGACACCAUGAUGCCAGAGGAACUUAGUGAUGGCAAACUUAUCAAUAUAAAAUGAGGAUAUUGGUUGUCAACUAGGUUGUGUGGUGGUCCUUGAUCUUGUCCAUCAAGUCCUUUUUCCCAAAGGAUAACUGAAGAAGAUCACAUACAUUCCAACUUAUUGAGUCUGAUAGGUAUUCAUCUGAUGAGCUCCUCUUCAACUGAGGAUUGAAAUGCUGUUUUUCUUCCCUGGUACAAUGUUAAAGCUUUAAACUCUUGUCAAUGAUGUGAUGUUUCAUCUGCAAUGAUCUACACUAGAAAAAUAAAAAUGUAGUUACUGACAAAAAAGCAGGAACUACUGCUCUAAGGAAAAAAGGACAGCUACAUGAGGACCACACAACUCCUGGAAGAGGUUUCCCUGGCAACACAACUUUUCCAUUCAUCUGGUUGCAGUGUUUUCAUCCAGUAGCCUGUCACCUCACUCAAAAGCAGGGCAAUGGAGAGAAAGAAACUUACCAAGUUUUUUCUUUUAACUAGAGAGUAGCCUACUUAUUGGGCCCUGCAAUUAAUUUCAGGCAGAUUUAUAAAGGAAGCUGCUGGAAGGAAUUCAUUCCCUUUUUGCUGUUCUGCCUUCCACCUUCCACUGUGUGAGGACACUGCAAGAAAGCCCUCAUCAGACACCAACUGCCAGCACCUAGAUCUUGGAAUUCUCAGCCUCCAGAACUCUUUUACCAAUUUUGAGUAGAUUUUAAGGAAGAGAGAAACAGGCCACUUCAGAUUGGAAGCCCACACCUACUCCAGGCUGUUUUCCAACUGGAAAAUGAUGUGAUGGGGUAAUCCUGCUCUCUAUCUGUAUCUCACCAGCAGAAUGCAUACUCUAUCAGAAAGGUUCUUUGGUGGAAUGUAUAUUCUCUGUCCUGGAGCUCCCCAAGUGCCCACUGUCUCUGACCUCAAAGUCCAGGCCUUUCAAUUGGAUGACCCAAGACUACCCCACUGUGAUUCUUUCUCCUGAGUGAUCUACACUUUCUUUUGUGGCAACACUCACUACAUCCUGACCCUACCGUCUCUAAGAUAUGGUGCAGGUGCUUCUGCACUCUUCUGGCUGCCAAACCAGUCAGCCCUUUGCUUGCUUUCUAGAUUUCUAAAGGCAGGAUUCAGAUAUAAUGCUACAGUUUGUCUAAACCCAAUAAAUAAACUGUUCUCUCCCCAGGCCUCAGACAAAACAAACAUGAUUAUCUUCCUUCUGUAUGUCAGUAAGGUGAGCAACACCAUUCUCCCCUGAAUGAACACACUAAAAUUCCUGGGUGUUGUCCUUGAUACUCUGUUUUUCUUUAUCCUUCAUCAUAUCUUUAAGUUCAGCCUGUCACAAACAUUCAAUGACACCAUUGAUAUCUAGUACAUGUCAACCUCUUUCUUCCCUGAAUGCACACAAAAGCCUCCUAACUUGUCUUUUUCUGUCAGUUCAGUUUUCCUGUCAUUUAAUACUGUUUCUUCUCUUGCUACUUGAGUUAUUUUCCUAAGUGCAAAUCUAUUGUCAUUUCCUUGUAUAAAAUUUUAAUGGCUCUUUAUUCCAAAACUAGAGAUUGAACCGUUCUCAGUUUUUCUAUGUCGUUGUAUUUCCUGUCCUGAAUAACCCAUCCCUCAUAUUCCCUCUUGCCAAUUAUGUGGCUCACUCCUUCUCACACUUUAAUGUUGAUUUAGACUACAGAACUCUGUCUGACCCCUUGCUCUACUCUCAAAGCUCCCCUUUACUUCAGUCUAAUUCUCUUAUCAUGCACUAAAGCCAUCAUUUAUAUUUGCUUUCUUUUUAUAACUUAAUAAUCCUUAAUAAGUCAUCACUUCCUUGACAGGAAGAAUCAUGUCUUAUUUUCAUCAUGGUAUCAAGAGUAUACAAUACAACUCCUGGCAAACUAUUAGUGUUUAACUGAUAUUUGUGGAAUUAAUUAAUGAGUAGGUGAAUAAGUGUAAUGGUGGGUAACUCAGUAUCUAGAUGAAAAACACUGUCUCAAGAGCUUUCUCUUUGCCAAGACUCCAGUCCCAAUUCCGAGCCUUUAACACUCUCCGCUUUAAUUUGAGGAAAAAAUGACUCUGAUGGACCAGUUUUGGUCCAUUAUGUAGUUUCCACUUAAUAAAUAGAAUUAAAUAAUUUCAAUUAAGAAGGCUCAUGUGAAUACUGACACAUUAUCAGAUACUUAGUUGACUAAAAGUCUUCAAAGGUGCCGUGUCAUAGUCAGAGUUCUGGCAUUGAGGAGGUUUAAAGAGAGUUCUUAUUUACUAAGAGAGUUAGACAGGCAAACCACAGGAGAUGGUGCUAUCACCUUACAUGAAGCUUACAUUAUACAGAAGGGAGGAAGAUACUAGAAGAAUAAGUUUUUGAGUUCUAUGCAGAAAAAUUACAUAUGGAUACAGGAGGGAAUUUUAUGGAGUGAGAAGUGAUAGUCUAAAUAAAUGGUGAAGGAAUCCUUCUCUGAAAAUGAGUAAACUAUGUGUACAUUUGAAGGAAAUGCCUCACUGGCAGAGCUAUGUACAAAGCAAAGGCUCUGAGGUGCCAGUAUAUUUAGUAUGUUUAAGAAAUCACAAAGACAAGCGUGACUGGGACUGAAGGAGGGAGUGAAUUAAUACAAUCCAGAAAACCUAAAAUAUUUAUAUUACCUGGCUUUGUUUGAAUUCCAAUCCCAAAUGAAUUUGUCAAAGAAAUCUGAUUUGUCCAACCUUAGUUAUUUGACAACUACAGGUUAAUCCACUCUACUGAGGAAGGAUGAGUCAUCAUAAAUAUUUCUUGCAGUGUCUUAUCUUUUUAAACAAAGAACAAAUUUAAGAGAAGUGUGCUGGGGUUGGGAGGGGAGUGUGUUGAUGGUUGUAGAAAUCAUACCAAGAUUGUCUUCUCUGUGAAUGUAAAAGGACAGUUCUUUAGGGGAAAAUCCCUCAGACUUCUGGACAGGGGCUUAGAACUAGAUUAUGUGACACUGUAUAGAGGAGGCUAAGUAUAAGGAAAAUCUCAUAGAUUUACAUAAUACUGAGACUGGAAAGGAAGUUAGGAAUUUUCAUGUUCAGUCAUAUUAAAAAUGAAGUAAGGAAAUUUCAGAAGCUAAGUGACUUUUUUUCAGGUUGGUAUACACAGCUAAUUAGUGCCAGCCCACAGACCAAACACGUAUCUUUUGAUUUCCUAUUCAAUUUGGCAUAGAAAAUAAUGUGACUUGAGUUCUGAGAAAGCACUUUUCUGGAGAGUCCCUAAGAAUACUUCCAGACACAAUUAAUUAAAAUAGAACUAGUGGCAAUGUUAAGAUAAAUCAGAAAAUAGCAUGAAAAACAGAAUAAAUUUAAUGUACAUCAAAGUACGUCAUCAUGGGAAUGGCUCUCAAACCAAACCCUGAAGGAGAAUAAUGUGGCCUCAAAUCAUUUCAGAGCCUAGGGCAUGAAACUUCCAUGAAAAAUGCUGUUUGUCUGAAUUCUUGUAGUGAAAUAUAGACAUUCAUUAAAGUAAAAUGUCAUAAGGAAAAAGAGAAACCCAGCAAAAAUUUUUGUGCAAAAUUUUCUCACUGUGGUAACGCAGUUAGAAAAAAAUAGAAAAAGCUGUGAGUUUAAGCUCUGGAGUCUGAAUUAUCUUUAUUUGAAUCUUUGCUGGGACCUGUCUUAGCUAUGUACAACAAGGCAAGUUUUCAAUCUCUUUGAAUUGCAGUCUCCUCGUUCAUUUAAACCAAACAAUACAAAAGAAAACAAAAAUCUAUAUUCCACUUAACAUCUCCAGUAUAUUUUGAGUAUUACUUAUGUAAGGCAUAUAAAUAUCUUGCAUAUUUAUUGAUAUAUAUUAGAUGUAUGUAAACUCUUGAUUUUCAUAAUAAUCUGUGACAUUAUUCAACACAGGGACUUUCCAGAGAGAUACUUUUGAGUUCUUGAUCUAAAGUAUUUUUCUUCUAUUUUUUCAUUAUUGUUUCCUAAUCAUUAAAAGUAAUGACAAAAAUCAUGAUUACUUUUGCACUAACCUCAUAAUAAAAUAUUUCAAAUAUUGUUACUGAGAGUGAAAUGUAGUGAAAACGUUUGUUGUUCCUAUUAAUGAACCUUACUAGACUUCCGAGGCACCCAGAAGACUAACACUCUAAUAAAGGCUAUAGCAAGUAAUUGACGAAGAACGGAUAAAUUGCAGAAGCAGAAAUUUCUCAGCUCUAGAGAGGUGGUUCAAAGAUUUAAUAAACUAAUUAAAAAGUCUGAAGAAAAGAGAAACCACUGAUGGGUCUUGACGUCUUUAAGUAAAGUAGUAACAAGCACAGUUGUCAUGGAGGUAACACAACAGCCAGAAUGUUUUUCUAAGGAGUGAAUUAGGACACACAGUGGAAAGUGCCUGAAGAAAUUAAGUGCAUUCAAAGUACAUCUGAAUUACUGAGAGUUUUAAGAACAUUAGAUUGCCCAUUUUCUUCUGUGUAAUUUGUAAAUUAUCUAUUUUAAUUCCUCCAUUUUACAAAUGAAGAUAAUGAACCUUAAAAGUAGCAGGGACUAUUUCCAGCUCCAUUCAAUAAAAGCCAAGUCUUCAUUUUAUAAAAAGCGUUCACUGUAGUUUUCAUGGAGCAAAUUAGUGGCAACUUGAGUCACCAUGCAGUGCCCUAGUGAAAUAUUCCUGCUUAACUCUAAUGGAUCUAGGCAGUGACUUUCUUAGUGGUGAUGGCAAUCGUCCCUCGGUUUAUGGUCCUGGUCAUAGCUAUAUCACAUGUUAUUUUUAUUUAUUUUGUAUAUUUUUACUUUUAUGUUUGCCUUUUUGUUGAGAAAAUGUCAGAGAACAUACAUGUAUACAAACUUACAGUAUAAACAUUAAGGCUUUUUAAAUUGGCUGCCUUUUGCCACUUUUUGGAAGGCAAGUUGCAAAUUUAAGGGAACACUUCAUAAUCUCAUUCAUUUGCAGAAGUUGGCAUACAUCAGUGGAGAAAAAGAACAUUCAGAAUUCACCCUGGGACUCUAUGAGUGCCUUAGGUGAUUGAGCAGUGCUUUUACUUUUUCAUGAUGUUAUAUGUAAAGGAUGCAACUACUGUAAUCACUAUUCUGUGCCACUCUAAAAGUAGCCUCAUAAAAAGUGUUCAUUAAACUGAAAAUAGUUUACUUGGCAUUUCCUAAAACUCACCAGAUCUGUUAUCAGCAGCAAUUAAAAAAUCUUUAAAGGUAUUUGUUUGUAUUCAAUUAUCACACAUUAAUAUUUUCUUAUCUUUAUCUUUCUAAAACCUUACUUAACGUUUCUGCCUCAUCUGCUAAUUUACUGACAUUUCAUCUUACGGUAAUAGUAAUUGUUUCUCCUAUCAAACAUACCUUAUCUUUUCAGAUGGUAUUUCAUUCUAUCCCUGAACUUGAAACAUCUUUCCCACCCUUUUUCUACUUGAUGAAAUUUUCUUACUCAUCACUAAAUGCUCAGCUAUAUUAGAGUCCCUUCAAGAAGACUUCCCUGUACUCUCAUAUUGGGUGAUAUACCUCCUUUCUGUUCCCAUCAUGCCCCAUCUUGUCAGCAAUCAUCAUGGUAUCUUGGCCUUUCAUGAAUCAUCUACUCCACUCUCAGAUAUUUUGUUAUCACAGGGCAGUAACAGUGUCACAUUCAUCUGUCUACUUCUAGGAACCCCACAGUGCUUAUUAUAAGACGAUGCUUAAUAAAUGCUCAUUAAACAAAAGGAAAAACUACAGUAUAAAUCUCCCAUACAUACAAAUAUGAGCAUAUUCCAGGAACACUUACUUGAGACAUCAGAUUUUUUUUUUGUUAUAACAUUUCACUCAGAUACAGUGUGCUUUUUAAGGAAACAGAAAAAUUUUAAUUCAGAGAACAGCUGCCAUCUUUUGGGAGAAGUCAGAAGAAUCUCUCUCCCUUUUGCUCUCUCCCCUAUAAAGCGAGAGCUUAUUGUUAAUGAUAUUUUUUGUAUGUGAAAGGUAGCUUGAAGAGAAACAGUUGUUCUUGAUAUUGAAUAAAUUAAUUGUGAAACCUGUUUUGCUUCCUUUUUCUCCAAGUGGAUAAAAAUAUUCAUGAUUCUAAAGCUGUAAAAGGCUAUUCUGAAACUAUCCGCAGACAAGGUUGUCAUGGAAACCACCAUUUUUUUGGAAUAGUACAAUAAAUAGUCAUCUAAAGAAAUACUGAACACGGCGCACCUUGCUCUGGUAAUUAUAGAUGGUCCAGAAUUGAAACAUCUAUGACAUAUUUUGCUCUCAGGUGUGCCACCAGAGGAUAUUUAUUACCAUAAUGGGAAAUCUUUGUAAACAGGUAAGAUACAAAAUGUUUACUUGCAGCAAUAACUUGAGGUAUGGAAUGAGAAGGACACAUACUACUACUGCUUCAUAAACUCCUUAGUCUCCUCAUCCACCUCACACAUACAUUCACGGCUUAUGCAAACAGAUAAGAAUAAAGACAUGAGACAGUAAAUUUCAAGAUUCACUAGCAACCUAAGAAAGUAGAAGACAAAAGAAUUUAAGAAUAUGUGAAAAUCAGGGAUAGCUCUAAAUUCUCUUUCCCUAUACACCCCAGCUUCCUAUAGGGAGACUAGAUACCAAAGUAUAUAAUAAGAGCUUGGAUAAAUGAAAUUAGAAUUUGAAGAACAGUGUUAAAAAAAAAAAAGAAUAAAAAUAGCAUCCUUUCCCUGUCUUCUCCGUAGGUUUUUGGGGUGUGGAAGGCUGCCAAAGAGGUAGGGGAUAAUUUCUGAAUAUAGAGAAUAAUCUUGAUUUACGACUGAAGUUUUACCACUUGCAAAACCUACAGAAGUACUUCAUGCUUCAGGGGUUGAGGGAGGACAGCCUUGAGUAGUGGCAAAGCUCAAAGUGAAGAGAUCAAGAUUUUUCAUUGAGGAGAUGUGAUUUAUCCAGGCAAGUUUUAAGGAAGGCUGGCCAUGGACUCAAGUAACCACCAAGUGGUGUUACAUUUGCUAGAGGUUAGGAUUAGGAGAGAAAGUCCUGUUAUUUAUACCCACCCAUGGAUGCAGGCAAAAUAGGUACAUGAUCAUACUACACAAAAUAGUCAACAUUUGUCACUGCCCCAGUGAAAAGGAAGGAGAUGGAUUUCAAAGAGAAGGCUUUGAAUUGAAUAGGGACCAUGUUUAAAACCCAAGCCAAAAUGAUUCUAUAUUGAUCCAAUAUAUUUAUUAGAGGCAACAAGAUUGUCUUUUUUAUUCUUGAGCUGAAUAGGAAGUUGUAAUACAAUUUAUAUUUCUGAGCAAAAAAGGUUUUACUUUUUAUACGUAUGAUUUUUACAUAUUACAUUCUUGUAUAUAUACAUAUCAAUCUUUACAUAUAUGUGGUAUAAAGAGCAAAAGGUUCAGCUCAGGGUCCCAAAGAGAUAGUACAAGAAAAAAUUAAAAUGGGUCAUCUAAACCAAACUAUUCUGAGUUAAGAUCUUUUUGCUUUUUUCAAUAUUCUAUUUAUUCUUCCCACUGUGAAUGAGUUUUCUUAAUCCCUUCCUAAUGCAGGCAGGAGGAGAGUAAAACAGAGGAUAAGAACAUCAGCAUUCUCUGAGAAGUUGAUUUUUUUUUUUCUUCAACUAGAAUGAGAAAGCCAAAGCUUGCUAUGGAAAAUUACCUAACCUUAAAUGUCUAACAUUUUUAAUGCAAGAAACUAUUGGUUUAUUAGUGUCCUAUGGAACCUGGUUAUGAUAAUUAGUGUAAAAACAAAACAAACUGCAUAGAAAGACUUGAACUCUAUUUAGCACAAGGGCAGCAGGGGAGAGAGAGAGAAAAGGAGAGAGAAAAACAUGAUCAUUUGUAAGCAAGUGGGGACUAGAAUCAGGUAAUUAUUAUACAGUUCUAUAUUUGUAUGUCAUUGUUUUUGCUAAAAUAAAUUGUUGUUACCCUAUUUAGCAUAUUAGGUUUCUUCGAAGGGUUACCCAAGAGUUCUUAUAUAUUUGGUUAGGAAGGAAGCAAAGCUAAGAAUGUUAUUCAAUUUCACAAUGGAAAUCAAUACUACCUAACAUUCUACAAUAAUCCAAGAUAAAAUAUAGAAGCCAGAAAGGACACAUAGAUCUACUUUAAAUAAUACUAAUUCUCAGAAAUUCAUGAAGAAAUAUAUGCUCCCAAAGUUUAUUUAGCUGUGCUAGGUGUAUAACUAGAAACAUAAGAAAAUUUAUUUUCUCUGGAAAGCCCUGCAAUAUGUUUAAAGUUCUACUAGUUCCCUUUAAAUACAGGAAUAAAAUAC
rnacentral:lncRNA from 1 species